CCUGUCCUGCAAGGAUAUGAGAAGGGGAAAGGGCAGGAAGUCCCAGGCAGUGGAAGGGAAAGGAGCUGAGCCUAAUCACAGUGAUUGUGAGUCAGCCUGGGGAAAAGCCAGAGCUAGGAGAAACCCAGCCAAGAUGGAGUAUGCCUGAGAGAGGCCAGAGCUAGUGAGAGCCCAGCAGAAGACCCAACACCAGACCAGAGCAGAUGCACCUUGCUGUAUCUGCAAUGCAGAGAGACCUAAAACACCAUGCUGGGAUACGGAAAGGGCUGCAAUAAAGAUUAACAGAUGUUGAAAUCAGGCAGAGUUACUCUAGGUGAUAAGAAGCUUUCAGCAGAAGACAAACAUAAAGGAGACAGACAAUAAACACAAGCAAACAUCCAGGGACACCUGAGUCUUCACAGCUGCUAUGGCACAGCAAUAACAAGAGAAAAAUGGAUGCUGCAGGAAUUCCAGAACUGCCACCUCACAUGUGAUUAUUGAAGAAGACAAUCCCUACUCCAAAAGAGCAUAUAAUCAGGGUAGAUAUUUGUUUAUAGCUUUUGCUCCAUCCAGAUAAACCAGCGUUGGAAUGCUGUAAGCUAAAUAAGUCUUAAAGUCAAGAAUAAGUUUACCCUCCCCACCCCAAAUAAAUAAACCCAAAACAUUUCUGGGUACAAGACUUAAACUCUAGCUGGAAUCUACCAAACUUAAGGAGUCCCAUUUUGCUUCUGGGUGUCAUACCUGGUCCCACCUGUCUCCCUCCUACACACCAAUAAUUUCAACACAUCUGUUACUUCACAAAAUGAGCUAUUAUUUGAUCUUAAUGACAUGCCAAAACAACUCCUCCCACACCAGAACACUUUUGUUAGUAAAAGAAUCAGCUGUUUUCCACCCAUCAACCCACAAACAAUUGGAUAAUUUACCCUGCCUUCUCCCUGAUUUUAGAAUAACUACCUCUCAACAUCUGUACUAGUCAGGAUGAAUUGUUUUUUCUGACACCUGUGCUUUCACCCUUCAUUCACACUAGCUCUGCUAAACUCUCUGAAAUUCAGUGCCCUCGACAUAUGCAUCCCACAGGUCUCAACACAGUUUUUAGUCCUGCUGUUCCUGGGAGACUUCCAAUAGGUAAAUGUCAUAAGAUACCUCCAGAGGAACUCUGGAAGCCGAGGGUCAAAUUUCCACUACUCUCUGGGAAACCCCCAUAAUUUGUCAAGGGGUGUUCCCAGGACUCACCUGGCACUUGCAUCAUUUCUACGGUAUGUCUGCAACACAAAACACUAAUCAAACUACAAAAGUGAGGGUUCACUCAGCUUUCUCCCUAUAGUAAGCUGCAAGCAGCUGAAACCCAAUAUGGCUCCCUGAGCCACAAAGAGAAGUUGAAACCUACUGAAUCCUCAGUUUCCAGAGAUAGGUCUUUUAGCUUAAACAGUAAAUAUUUUUGUUUUAAGAUCCAGAGAUGUUAUGUUCAAUCCCUGUUGUCAACAAACACAAUCUUGCAUACAAUUUGUGAACAGGCUUUUCAGGAAGCUUCAGCCACUUCAUUCAUUCUCUUUUUGCCAUACAGUGUGUGAAAUCGCAUAUUCUACCCAACCCCAAGGCAAAGAUCCAUACAACAUAGAACAAGUGGGUAUGGUUUCCUCUGAGGUGCCAUGCUUCAUAUAAUGCCCAUUUCUGACAAACAACCUCAUGCAUGCAGCUCUGAGAUACAGGCUGUUCCAAAAUUGUUCUGAGCCAUUAUUUAUCAUGUUACUUUUCACAAUCUGUAUUUUGACUGACCUGGAAUUUAGCUAAAUAGUUAUGCUGGAUGUGUUCCAAGUAAAUUAAUAAACCCUCCUUUGCUGCCAAUUCUAGCAAUGAGCACUUUGCUGAGCUGCUGCAGUUUGAGAUGUCUGAUUGCCAUCUAUCUUGGAAAACUGCAGAGUCAAUCCCUUUGAUUUGAUUUCAUCUGGGGAUCAAUACACAGGUGCCAUCUCAACUUCAUGCACUUGCCAAAAAGGGGGAACUUAAAUCCAAGGCCAAUGAACCUUCCGCAAAUGGGAGGGCAAUGGUAUUCUUAUUGCAAUGGCAGCUGUGACUCUAAACUGACCAAAAAUUCUGCAUUUUAGAGAUGACUUUUGUCAUUAGCAAACAGCAUGUGCCCAUCUUGUAGGCUGUUCUUGUUCCAUUAAAGAACAAUACAUUGUUACUUACUUCCUUUUGGAACCUAAAUCAGGUAUUCCUCCUUUACAAAGCUAAACCAGGUUUAAGAACAAAGCCAGCUACAUAGGUGUUUCACAUUAUGUGGAUGGUCAUUGUGGACAGAGCUGGGAUAUAGAUGUUUUAAAAACAACAAAAAUCUUUGUGCUUCUAAUGGUUAAGCUUUUGGGCAUAUUUUUGGGCAUAUUUUUACUCUAGUUUUCAAUGAGAUGGGGUAUCUCUACCGUGCAAAUAGGACAUGCACACCCGUUGUCCUUUUAUUGCCUCUGACAAAUAUUCUGUAGUUUUGUUCUACUCUAUUCUCCUCUACAACUUGAUUCCACAUAGGAAAAGGCCAGGUGAACUCUCUCAAGGACAGGAAUGACUUCCUCUUUAAGACUGAGGUGUGUUGGUAAAUCAGGACUGUCACCAAUGGAAGAACCUAAAACCCAUGUGGGGAAACUGUUUGUUAUUCAUAGU